AUUGAACGCUGGCGGCAGGCUUAACACAUGCAAGUCGAGCGAGCGGCGGACGGGUGAGUAAUGUAUGGGAAACUGCCUGAUGGAGGGGGAUAAGUACUGGAAACGGUAGCUAAUACCGCAUACCAUCAGAUGUGCCGUGGGGGGAUUAGCUAGUAGGUGGGGUAAUGGCUCACCAAGGCGACGAUCCAUAGCUGGCCUGAGAGGAUGACCAGCCACAUUGGAACUGAGACACGGUCCAGACUCCUACGGGAGGCAGCAGUGGGGAAUAUUGAGCAAUGGGCGAAAGCCUGAGGCAGCCAUGCCGCGUGGGUGAAGAAGGCCUUCGGGUUGUAAAGCACUUUCAGCGGGGAGGCGUUACCCGCAGAAGAAGCACCGGCUAACUCCGUGCCAGCAGCCGCGGUAAUUC
rnacentral:rRNA from 1 species